ensembl:lncRNA
GUCAAGUGAUCUCGUAGUCACGCCCACAAGCUAACGAUAACUUCUCGAAAGUUCUGCUAGCCGCUUUUAUUAGCGGCUCGUAGCAAUGUUGCUACCCUUCUGCUAGCUUAACGGCUAACAGUGACGCAUUGUGAUUUACUUCCAGACCUAACUGUAUAUAUAUUAUAUAACUGUGUUAAUGAACUUACUGACGUAAUGGUGAUGACAGCGAACUUCUAUUAUAUACAUAUUAUUAUAUUCUAUACAGCGCUUCUAUUUUUUUACAUACUUUUCUAUGACGCUGGCUCGGUCUCUGUGUGGCCACGCCCCCUUUGUUUUUCUUCCGGAUUUAUAGCCAAUCCCAACAGCUACGGGUUAUUGGUUCCUGAAUGGGCAAUACCAACGAAGAGACUUGAAACUAACUUUAUUACUUUAUUUUAUUAGUUGUUAUUUUUAGUAGUAUUGGUAAGUAAAUUAACUGUAUUCCUAAUUUUUGCACUUAUAUAUGAGGUCUGUGUAACAAAAAUAGGAACAAAAAAUACCAUUAUUUUUUUACAAAGCUCAAAUCAAAAUCUAAAGAAAAGCUCCGGCUGAAGAUUUCCAGAUGUUGUGCUUGCUGAUUCAUUAGAGAAUGCAUAGCUCAACACGGCUGAUCGGUCAUAACCGUGUGUUCCAAACCCUGUUUUGACCUUCAGCUUCCCACCAGAAAUAAUGUUCUCUUUCAUUAUCUAAUGAAGCCUGUGGCUGAGGAGUCACAAACAAAACAAAACAAAAAUCACAGCAUGCCAUGUAAAAACAAAAGGGGGUGGGAGCAAGACAGAUGAACCCUGUCCUGGGCACUCCCACUAAAGUUCACAAGUAAACAAGAGGCUGGUAAAUGGUAUGCUCCCACAUAGGACAAACAUGCAGUGUUAUAAGCUACAACAUUGUUUUCCUGGAAAGGGUUUCUCUUAGCUGGAGAAACACAGUGGUGCCUGCUUGCUGGUGUUCGCUGAUGAUGUUUGGCUUCAGUUUGUGGGGCCUCUGUCUGUGUUUUAUUGCAGGUAUAGGACAGGGUGGUCAGAUGUUGAGGUCACUGAGAAACUCUUUACGAACCCACACAAGCCCUCGAGUUCAGGAGCAGAGGGCAGCAAGGGGCCGGUGGGAAAGGACAGAGACACACUUUCAUUUGAACAAUGUCACCCUGCUGUUCUUUGCCUUCAAUAUCGCUGUUCCUCUAAUUUCCACAGCUGGAUUUGACCUGAAGGAAUCACAUCAGUGUAUUAGUAUUUCUGUUUCUUUCAAAUCUCAACGAUUCUUUACAGGCUUAUAUACUUAUUAGAUUAGGGGACACAAUAUAAUAAAAAUAAAGAAGAAAUUGAUUUUUCGAUUUCUCUCAGAUUCUCUCUAGUCUCGCGCGAGCAAAAGUUCAUCUCGCGCGAGAUAUUUGCUCGCUCAUGGAGCAUGAACUUUACUCGCUCGCGAGGUUAGUCUCUGCUCACGCUCGAAGGUGUUUUCUACGCGCUCGCUGUUUUUCUUUUUGACAGUAAGGGGGCGGAGCCAGUCACCAUGGUCUCUACACUGGAUUGGUUCCAAAACCCCGUCUUUGGAUUGGCUGGCGUGAUGCAUUUUACACAACUAUAGAAGCCCAUUUCCGCACUAAUGUAAGGGGAUAGAAAGUCGAACUUAUGAGAUAAAACGUUAAAAAACAAACGGCCCCCUUCGGUAAUCGUAGUGGACCGUAGAUGACAACCAGCUACAACCAUCAUUUACCAUCAUUACCGGCACAUUAAGAGCAAUGCGUCUAGCUCGCAGACCGGUCCGUCAGUCUGAAUCUGAAUAUCUUGCCAACUUUACCGAACUAUGAAGGAGCCUGCGCACAUCUUACCUCAUUAUUUUGAUUUUCCAAAAAGUCGAUCCGUAUUGAAAGUUGGCAAGAUAUUCACAGAUUUGGACUUUUUUCCGGUAUUUUACAAAUACGGACCGGUCUGAGACUAAGAGCAGCUUUUUCUUCAUUUAAAAGAAAAAUGAAUCUCUUUAAUAUUUUUUUACAUAGGCUACUUUUAUAUAAUGUGUUGAAAUGCAAGCUGCAUUGGUUCUUGCAUUGUUGAUAAAAAGAGAAAAUCAUAUUUGUGACAAAGAUUUUUUUUUCUCUCAUAAAAAAUUAGAGAAGGUAAUUCAUCUGUUGAUUUUCUUUAAUUAUCAAAUAAAGUAGGAAGUGAUUAGCAACCUCUGAGUAGCAAACUCACAUUUGAGAAAAUUUAGAAAAUCGAGAUGGAUCGAUAAUCGUUUUAUCAGUUUAGAAUCGCUAAUCGGUUUAGAAUCGCUAAUCGGUUUAGAAUUGAAUUGUUGACCUCUGAAUCGGAAUCGAAUCGAAUCGUGAGGUGCCAAGAGAUUCCCACCCCUAAUUACUUCUAUAUGUUUUGACUGUAAACAGCAGGGGGUGUUGUUCCAACUUCUCUUUGGACAGUGCUUACUGAGAGGUCAAAGGGCGCGUGAAAAAUACCUGAAGUGCGACUUGACGUCCUGUUUAUGUGCAGGAUCGCUGAGCCAUCCGAACACUGCCAGACUGUACUAAUUAAACCAAUCCACGAUCUUUAAAUCUUACAAAGUAGAUGCGUUGCCUAAACCUAAAGAGGUUUCCAACAAUAAGGGUUAUGAAGGCAAACUUCUCCCACGUGCUUUGUAGGAAAAUACCAUGUUCAACUCUAUAUAACCCAUUGCUGCAUAACCCAGGCAGAUUGCAGCCUCCUCGGCUCUCUCUCCAUCGGCCCUGACACGUCCUCAUUCAGGAUAUCACAGGCCGUCAUACCAAAUCCCCACCUACAGGAGGAGACUCAAUAGUCAAUUGCGAGUUAUGCUGGGUGGCUAGGCGUCUUUCACUGUGGACAUUUUGAUAUAACUCGAGGUGUAAACAAUCACAUGUGUGAAUUGCAAUGAGGAGCUUCAGUUUCAGGCUCCUUAUAUUGUACAUGUUGGCAGACUGUCGUGCUAGUGUGGAAUACCGGAACCCUGAAAAGAGCCACAGCCACUGUGAUUUCCAUAUAAUGAAAAGUCCAAAUGUCUGCUGCUUUUUUUAAUGUCAUGUGACAAUCAAAAUAAGAACAAUUGUCAAAAUGUAGGUUUUUUUUAUGGCUGUAAUUAGCCAUAACCAUGGUAUAUUGAUGUUUAAUUAAAUGUACUACUAUUGCUGAUAAUUACAAUUAUGGUUUUCUUUAUUGUAAUAAAGGCUUUUAACAUGAUAGAGGUUUGACCGGUUGGCUCAUCCAGUCCAACUUUAUUUGAUAAAUCAAUAUUUUAUAUUCCUUCCUUGCUUGCAAGUGCACUUUUAUUCACAACUUUUUUUCCCUACUUAUUAUGGUGGGAGAAGAAAAGGUGUGGCCACAAAGAAAUGCACUUGCCACGGUGACUGUAGUAAUCGAACGCGCCCGACGACGUGCAGUACGCCUGUUACCGCAGAGGUCGUACAAAUCAAAUAAAACCUUUAUUGACGUGUUUUGCAUGGGGACUCCCCCAAACCGCUCCCUGGCCCCCUUUUCCCCAACCAGGGUGUUGAUGUGGUUCCCCAGAGUAUCGACCCGGCAACCUACAGCCCAAUUCCCCGUGCCCUCAUAUCCUGGUGUGAGCACAGAGGCCACCGGCCCGGCCCGGCCAGGGCAGGUGAAGCCCCGAACGCCGUUACGUAACCACAGAGGAAGUCAUCCGUCAGUGGGGCGGCGUGGGGCGGCACUCAACUGUGUCCUUUUUUUUUCCGGUGGGAGCCGCCGCUUCCAGUGUGCGAGGGUGACGGCGCGGUCAGUCUGGAGUGUUUGUGUUAGCCUAAAUCAGUUUGAGCGGAGUGGAAACAAUCCAGGGGGCGUCAUAGGUGUGUGUUUGUGUGUUUGUCGCUCCCUGAGGAUUUAUUGUGACAAAUUAUCAGCCAUAGACAAACAACAAGCAAGCCACCCGCCUGUCCCCGUAAACAAACAAACAAACAAACAGAGGAGACAGACAAACAGGCCGUCACGCCACGCCGAGUUUACAAGGAUUAAUCACCGUUUGGCAGAAAUCAAUGCAGGCUUAUUUAGUUUUGAUCAACAAUCAAUGCUGCACUGUUGUGUGUAUCUACGCGUAUUAGUUCUUGCAGGCACGUCUGCAUGGCCACCUGUGUCCAUCACUGUGUGGGGACGCAUGUUUUUGGAAUGCAUUUUGUGCGCCUGUGCAUGUGGUAUCAUAUGUGUGUGUGUGUGUGUGUGUGUGUGUGUGUGUGUGUGUGUGGGGGGGGGAUGUAACCCAAACCAGAGCGGCACAACACAGCAGCCUGUUCAAAGGCACGUUUGUAUUAUUACAGCUUGUCCAGCUGCUCAGGACAGACAAACAAGACUUAGAGCUCUGAGCUGCAAAACACAGACCUCCCACCCCAUCGCACAGACCCCUGUGGCCCGGCCCCCGCAACGCCGAUCAGAAAUGGACAAACAGACGCCCACAAAUAGACAAACCAACGGCCAAGAGUGGAAGUCUUUGUCCUGAAACGAUGAGCGACACUUGGAGAGCUGAUGAAAACGAAUGCCUGUGUUUGCGGCGCAAUAUUUCUUCUCGGCGUGUGCUCGGCGUGCCCCAUAAGCAGCUCUCUCCUCUGGAGACCCCCCCCCCCCCCGCCCGCCCUCCAAAUGAAUCUGAUCGUGGCGAUUAAGAUCAGAGUAAGCCAACACUCUCGCUCCCUCACGCCUACGCUACCCAUCGACAUUGUCUCCUUUUCACCUCAACUUGUGCCGUUCACCCUGACCUCCAUCCUCCGUCCUCGAUAUCUUCCACACUCCUCCAUCCCUCAUCUAUCCUGCUCUGCUCCUCCUCCUCCUCUCCCCCUUGUGCUCCUGCUCCUUUUCCCUCUCUGAAUCAGGGUCCCUGUGUGCCUGUAUGUAACAUCAGUAAAGCUGUCAGGCGGCCAGGCCAAGGUAAACAGCCCAGCGCCGGGUUCAGGGGUGAUGGGGGCCGAGAUGUUUUUCCUCAGGAACCCAGGGACCCCUGGAGGCUUCUGGCUGGGGCCAGGGAGGGGCCGAAGGGGGGAAGACGAUCCCCUCAGUUGCCCCCCACAAGAACACACACCGCCCGAUUUCUCCUUCCAUCCUCUCCCUUUUGUCACCGACCUCCUAAUCACACUCGCCUCUCUUUCUGCAUCUGUGUACACAAAGCUCUUCAACAGCAUCUUUUGACACAUGUACAAUCAGUCAUUGGUGCUCUCGCACACUCCUACACAACCACUUGGGGCCUAAAUCCUUCCUGUUUCAGUAUUAAAGAGAUAUACUCAUGCAUAUAAAUAUGUCACAUAAUGUACAUUAUGCAGAAUGUGGUAGGUGUUGAAAGCAUAAAUAUCAUUUUAUUUUCAACUGCACAAUUGACAUUUUCAAAUUGAUUGAUUUUGGCCUGAUGUGCUUCUGGAGGAAUUCAGCAAAUCAAUUA